rnacentral:tRNA from 1 species
GGUAAAAUGGCUGAUUAUAGGCGAUAAAUUGUAAAUUUAUUUAUGAAUAGAUUCUUUUACUA